rnacentral:rRNA from 1 species
AACGAACGCUGGCGGCAUGCCUAACACAUGCAAGUCGAACGAGACCUUCGGGUCUAGUGGCGCACGGGUGCGUAACGCGUGGGAACCUGCCCUUAGGUUCGGAAUCACUCCCCGAAAGGGGUGCUAAUACCGGAUAAUCUCUUCGCACCAAAGAUUUCUCGCCUUUGGAUGGGCCCGCGUUGGAUUAGCUAGUUGGUAGGGUAAAAGCCUACCAAGGCGACGUUCCAUAGCUGGUCUGAGAGGAUGAUCAGCCACACUGGGACUGAGACACGGCCCAGACUCCUACGGGAGGCAGCAGUGGGGAAUAUUGGACAAGGGGCGAAAGCCUGAUCCAGCAAUGCCGCGUGAGUGAUGAAGGCCUUAGGGUUGUAAAGCUCUUUUACCCGGGAUGAUAAUGACAGUACCGGGAGAAUAAGCUCCGGCUAACUCCGUG